rnacentral:rRNA from 1 species
UACAGAGGUCUCAAGCGUUGUUCGGAUUCAUUGGGCGUAAAGGGUGUGUAGGUGGCGCCGUAAGUCGGGUGUGAAAUCUCGGGGCUUAACUCCGAAACUGCAUUCGAUACUGCCGUGCUUGAGGACUGGAGAGGAGACUGGAAUUUACGGUGUAGCGGUGAAAUGCGUAGAUAUCGUAAGGAAGACCAGUGGCGAAGGCGGGUCUCUGGACAGUUACUGACGCUCAGGCACGAAAGCGUGGGGAGCAAAAGGG